UUAGGACUUCAGCUGCAUUUUAUAGAACUUCCUGAUGCAGAUGGGACAACAUAGAAUACAGCAACAAGAAGAGAUUUCCUGGAAGAAGGGAGAUCCUAAGUGAAGAGAGCAGUGAGACAUGGAAGAAGAAAGGGUGACGUACUCUGAGCUGCGCGUUCAGUCUCCGCUCCAGCAACAUAGAUCACCUGCAGCAUCUCGAGCCAAGGGCACUGCUUGUUUUGAACAUCGAGGUUUUUCUGCCCCAUUGUCACCAUGGAAAUUAAUUGCAGUGGUUUUAUGUCUCAUCUGCCUUGGCCUCCUUUUCUCUGUUGGAAUCUUAGCUGCAAAGUUAGCAGAGAGAAAUUCAAGAAAUCUCAUUUUCAGUCAGGAAACAGAUCAGAAAGGAAUUUCACAGCCAUCAUCAAAAGUUUGGAAAUGUCAGCCCUGUGGUGAUGGCUGGCAGCAGCACGGGAAGCACUGCUACUCUUUCUCUAGAGAGCAGAUUCCGUGGAGCAGUUGUGAACUUCACUGUUCUCCUUUACGUUCAAGUUUUCUUAAGAUAAGCACGGAAGGAGAGAUGGAGUUUGUAAAAAGAAUGUCAAAGAAGCAGUGUUUUUUGUAUGAGGACAAGUUCGGGUUCAGUUUAUACUACAAUAGCAGCCAAAUGAAAUGGGUGUGGCUAGAUGGUUCAGCUUUUAUUCUGGACAAGUAAGUAUCCUCCUACUGUCUUAGAGCACCAAUUGCAGGAUGAGCACCUUACUUAGCUCAUUUCAUAUGAUCAGAUGUUAAAUUCCAUGUCUGGUCGUUUCAUGAAAAGUUAAAAGAGAAAUCAUUGGAUGAGGAGGAAACAUAACAAAGUACACUUAUUUCAGCAGCAUGCUAAGAAGUUUACUGAUGAAAUCUAAAUAAAUGUCCUGUCAAAUCUUAAGGGUUUUUAAUU
rnacentral:lncRNA from 1 species